AACGCACAUUGCGCCUUCUGGUAUUCCAGAAGGCAUGCCUGUUUGAGCGUCAUUUCUCUCUCAAGGAGCAAUCUUUGGUGUUGAGCGACACUCGUAUGAGUCAGCUUGAAAGGGAUUGGCAGUGGGUCGGCGAGUUGACAUCUUCGUUAACUUCAAUGUAUUAGGGCAACCAUUCAUUGAGGGAAGACUAGACAGACCGGUCUUGCGGCUUGACAACCUCUCAUGUUUGACCUCAAAUCAGGUAGGACUACCCGCUGAACUUAA
rnacentral:misc_RNA from 1 species